CCUACGGGUGGCAGCAGUGGGGAAUAUUGCACAAUGGGGGAAACCCUGAUGCAGCGACGCCGCGUGAGUGAAGAAGUAUUUCGGUAUGUAAAGCUCUAUCAGCAGGGAAGAAAAUGACGGUACCUGAGUAAGAAGCCCCGGCUAACAACGAGCCAGCAGCCGCGGUAAUACGUAGGGGGCAAGCGUUAUCCGGAUUUACUGGGGGUAAAGGGAGCGUAGACGGCAGCACAAGUCUGGAGUGAAAUGCCGGGGCUUAACCCCGGAACUGCUUGUGACACUGUGCAGCUAGAGUGCAGUCGUGGUAAGUGGGAUUCCUCGUGUAGCCGUGCAAUGCGUCUAUCUUAGGAGGAUCCCCAGUG
rnacentral:rRNA from 1 species